GUUUGCUGUUGACACUGUUACUCCCAGCAAGCAUGAGGAUGCUUUCUGAGCAGGGAAAAUAGGGGGAGAAUAACCCCUCAGAUAAGAAGGCUGGAGUGAUGAACCGUAAGUGAAGAUUAGAGGAAACAAGAGCAACCCAGAAUGGCAGCUUCCUGGUGCUUCCUCUGCUGCUAUCGGAAGAGACAGACAUGACCCACAGAGAGCAAUAUUCAAAAUACUGAAUGCAUCAUUUCCAGGUGGCGAAUGGGAUCAAUGAGCUAGGAAGCUUGGAACCAAGCAACUAGAAAGCCCCUUGGCCAUGGAGUGGAGUCUACAGGAGCUGAUACAGAAGACAUGUAGUUUCUGCUUUUACCUGUUCUGCUAUAUCUGAAUUUUAUUCCACGAUAUAUAUUUCAUAGUAACAUGUGCCAAUAAAGUUAUCCUAAUGUGACA
rnacentral:lncRNA from 1 species